rnacentral:rRNA from 1 species
UACAGAGACCCCGAGCAUUAUCCGGAUUUAUUGGGCGUAAAGAGAGAUUAGGUGGCUUUGUAAGUCAUUUGUUAAAUCUUCAGGCUUAACCUGGAGGCUGCAGGUGAUACUGUAAGGCUCGAGUGUGGGAGAGGCAUAUGGAAUGCCCGGUGUAGCGGUAAAAUGCGUUAAUAUCGGGUAGAACACCAAAGGCGAAAGCAAUAUGCUGGAACACAACUGACACUGAUUCUCGAAAGCGUGGGUAGCGAAAGGG